rnacentral:rRNA from 1 species
AUUGAACGCUGGCGGCAUGCCUAACACAUGCAAGUCGAACGGGGCAGCAAUGCCUAGUGGCGGACGGGUGAGGAAUACGUAGGAAUCUGCCCUUAAGUGGGGGAUAACCAGGGGAAACCCUGACUAAUACCGCAUGAUCUCUUCGGAGCAAAGAGGGGGACCGCAAGGCCUCUCGCUUCUGGAGGGGCCUACGUCGUAUUAGCUAGUUGGUAGGGUAAAGGCCUACCAAGGCGACGAUCAGUAACUGGUCUGAGAGGAUGAGCAGUCACACCGGAACUGAGACACGGUCCGGACUCCUACGGGAGGCAGCAGUGGGGAAUAUUGGACAAUGGGCGCAAGCCUGAUCCAGCAAUGCCGCGUGUGUGAAGAAGGCCUUCGGGUUGUAAAGCACUUUAGCCUGGAAAGAAAAAACUUUGGUUAACACCCAAAGUCUUGACGGUACCAGGAGAAUAAGCACCGGCUAACUCUGUGCCAGCCGCCGCGGUAAGAC